rnacentral:rRNA from 1 species
CCAGACUCCACGGGAGGCAGCAGUGAGGAAUAUUGGUCAAUGGGCGAGAGCCUGAACCAGCCAAGUCGCGUGAAGGACGACGGUUCUAUGGAUUGUAAACUUCUUUUGUAGAGGAAUAACGGUAGCUACGUGUAGCUGAGAUGCAUGUACCCUACGAAUAAGUAUCGGCUAACUCCGUGCCAGCAGCCGCGGUAAUACGGAGGAUACGAGCGUUAUCCGGAAUUAUUGGGUUUAAAGGGUGCGUAGGUGGCGUAUUAAGUCAGUGGUGAAAAGCUGCAGCUCAACUGUAGUCUUGCCGUUGAAACUGAUAUGCUAGAGAGGAGACGAGGUAUGCGGAAUGUGUGGUGUAGCGGUGAAAUGCAUAGAUAUCACACAGAACGCCGAUUGCGAAGGCAGCGUACCAGGCUCCGUCUGGCACUGAAGCACGAAAGCGUGGGGAUCAAACAGGAUUAGAUACCCUGGUAGUCCACGCAGUAAACGAUGAAUACUAGAUUUUUGCGAUAUACUGUAAGAGUCUAAGCGAAAGCGAUAAGUAUUCCACCUGGGGAGUACGCCGGCAACGGUGAAACUCAAAGGAAUUGACGGGGGCCCGCACAAG